rnacentral:rRNA from 1 species
AGAACGAACGCUGGCGGCAUGCCUAACACAUGCAAGUCGAACGCUCUUGGGGCUUCGGUCUCAGGGGAGUGGCGCACGGGUGAGUAGCGCGUGGGAACCUGCCCUGUUGUGGGGGAUAACCGAGGGAAACUUCGGCUAAUACCGCAUAAGCCGGUUGUCUUGAAGGAGAUGGCCGGGAAAGAUUAUCGCGACAGGAGGGGCCCGCGUCGGAUUAGCUAGUUGGUGGGGUAACGGCCCACCAAGGCGGUGAUCCGUA